GGCGUGGUGGCCAAGUGGUAAGGCGUCGCUCUCGUGCACCAAAAAUCAUGGGUUCAAACCCCAUCCAUGCCUA
rnacentral:tRNA from 1 species